UGCCAGCCGCCGCGGUAAUUCGAAGGGACCUAGCGUAGUUCGGAAUUACUGGGCUUAAAGAGUUCGUAGGUGGUUGAAAAAGUUUGUGGUGAAAUCCCAGAGCUUAACUCUGGAACUGCCAUCAAAACUUUUCAGCUAGAGUUUGAUAGAGGAAAGCAGAAUUUCUAGUGUAGAGGUGAAAUUCGUAGAUAUUAGAAAGAAUACCAAUUGCGAAGGCAGCUUUCUGGAUCGUGAUCGACGCUGAGGAGCGAAAGCUAGGUGAGCAAACAGGAUUAGAUA
rnacentral:rRNA from 1 species